AGUGGGAAAGGGAACCUGUUUGACCUUCACCCUUCUUUCCCUCCUACAGCCUGGGCUGCAGAUGAGGUGGCCGAAGCUUGACAGUUAUCUUAGAUCACAAGUUUCCUCAGCACCUGCUCUGUUGGGGCUGAAAGUUCUUUGAAAAAUUCAUCUCUUGAAUAAUGAAACAACGGCCUGAGGGAGGAACGUGGAAAUAGACGGUUUACAGUCAAAGCCCAGAAGGAGGCUGCAGACUUCUUGAGUCUCCCAAGGACCUGCCGGUCUUCACUGGGAAAGGAAGGAUUGUCCACCUGGCACAGCAUCUCAUCUCUACAACCGAAGGUUGAAGUCCCUAAUGCUGACCUUUAAAUAGCGGAUGUGUGGAUCAUUUCAAUAUGACUGGACUCUGAAAGAUGGCUUUCAUCCUGUCUGGGAUACUAGAUUGCACCCAUGCUUUAUCCAGCAUGAGGGAGCAGAGAACUUCCUGGGAGAAGACAGACCUUGGCUUCGUGAGCAGGACAUGUGGAAACCGGAGCUUUGCCGGGCGGGUCUGAGGGACAAGGCAGGCUAGCCACCUGAACAGUGAACUUGAGUGAUUGCAUAGACCAAUUAUGGCUACAACAGCGCUCUGUAGCUACUUCCUGUUUUGUUACCACCCUGCAAGAGGCUCGACUUCUCUGGGUUCUGGGCAGUUUGUGGCUUCCAGGGUGAGCAUUCCAAGAAGGAAACUAGCUUCCGGACUUCUAUUUGUCCCUGCAGGCGAGGUGACUCAAAGUCUCCUUUCAACACCCAUUCUUCAUUUUCUUGCUGGGGCCUGGAAGUUUAUUGUCCUUUCCCACCAAGACGGGGAGGGGGGGGGGAUGGUCACAUAGAACAGUUACACAUUCCCCUGACAGGUCUUCUAGCUCUUGCAUCCUUGUUAAAGCCCUGAAUUCUCUACAUUUGAUCCAGGAAGGCACUGCCUGUCAAUAGGCAUCAGAUGCUGCAGUGGGCUGACCCUUUCUCAGUGGGUUGGGUCAUUUGUGACUGGGCCACUGUUUUUAGUCAUUGGCAGUUUUUCAUCUCAAGCCCCUUCAACCCUCUUCUUCUUUGUCUUGAGACUGAUCCCAUGGUCUUGGAAAUCUCCGAGCCAAUGGUGGGUCAGCAUUCCAGAUUCCCCUGCACCCCCCUUCCCCUAAGAAUUCCAUGGACUGGCCAUGCCUGGGUUUAUCAGAGGGCCCAGCAGAAUUCAGCUUGGGUCCCCAACCCACAGCACAUGUAUUUCUAGAUUCCUUCCUUGCUUGCUCUAUUCCCCCACUUCCUCUCCUGGGCUUCCUGGAAGUGCCUCCAGAGUGAGCUACUGGCAACAGUGACCUUAUAUUGAGAUCUGUUCUGUCUAUUAGUAGGGGCUCUCUAGAGGAACAGAAGUAAUAGGGUGAAUAUAUAUCAAGAGGGGGUAUAUUAGAUUGGCUUCCAUGAUGUAGUAGUCCAACAAUGGCUGUCAUCAUGUCAGAGAGACUGAGACCCAGUGGCUAUUCUGUCCUCGAGGCUGGAUGCCCCAGCAGUUCUUAUCUGGUAUUGGAGGCCUGGUGGGUUCCUCGAGAGCCCCUGGUCUUCUAUAGUGGAAGGCUGAGGAAGUGGAGUUCCCAUGUCAGCGGAGGAUGGUGGCGGCUGUGGCGGUGGCAGUGGCAUCAGCAGGGUAGCCGCAUCCACAGUGAGGUCUGUCUUUCCACUGUGUGGGUUCCAGGGAUCGGAUGUCAGUCGUCAGGCUUGAUAGCAGGUGCUUUACACUCUAACCCAUCUCACCGACCCCAAGAUUAAUUCUCUAUGAAAAAGAAACAAUAUACAAAUGUACUCAAAUCUCCAACAGACUCGACGUUGUAUACAUACCAAAGAAUUCUAUGAAUAAAUGUAUUGGUGAUUUAUUACCAGUAAAUUUUUAUUUGAAUAUUUUAUAUACCUAUGCAAAAAUAAAUUUCCUGUGUAAAAAAGGAGUCACAGCUGGAAAAAGUGUGAGAAACUCUAGCUUAAAUCUUCACCAGUUUCCUUAGCCAAGACAUGCCGUUCCGUCCAGGAUAUUCAGUGCACAGAAUAAAAUCAAGGAAAAUGUU